GGUAGGGUGGCCGAGCGGUCUAAGGCGCUGGUUUUAGGCACCAGUCUCUUUGGAGGCGUGGGUUCGAAUCCCACCCCUAUCA
rnacentral:tRNA from 1 species